CUGGGGAAGUUGCCAUCUCUUGAAGAAUUAACCGUAGGUGACAUGGAACGCGUGCGGAGGGUGGGGCGUGAAUUCUUGGGAUUGGGAGUUGAUGGGGAGGAUGGUGAGGAUAGUGACAUUAGUAUUGGAGAAAAGACAUCAUCAUCAUCGUCAAAUACUAUUAAUGCAUUCCCCAAGUUGAAAAGUCUUUCCUUUUGGAGAAUGGGACAGUGGGAAGAGUGGGAAGGAGGAGAAGGAGGAAAUGAAGAUAAAACAAACAUCUUCCAUUCAAUCAUAAUGCCAUCUCUUCGUUCCUUGAGAAUUAUGGAGUGCCCAAAACUGAAAGCACUUCCGGAUUACAUGCUCCAGUCAACAACUCUAGAGCAACUGGUAAUCUAUAACAGCCCAAUUAUAGGAGCGCAAUUCAAAGCGGGAGGAGAGGGCUGGCCCAACGCCUCUCAUACCCCAAACAUCAGAAGGAUUAGAUGAGGAGCUUCCUUGGUAUUUGCAAGGUUUACGACGACAAUAGAUAAAUGGCUGCAGGCGCCCGACAACAGGGGGAAAAGAAAUAAUCACAGCGCUCAAAUCCGGAGGAGGAGAAGG